AUGGUAAAUACUGUUUAGUCCUGGUGUUUGCGGCCAAAGCUCUUAAGUUGUCAGAUUUUGAAAAAAGACAGGAAAAAUUUGCUUCAUUCUUUGGACCAGGGAUUGCGGCUGAAGUUGGAAAGAGUGAAGAUAAUCUAUAUGAAGUCCGACU